UACGUAGGGUGCAAGCUUUAAUCGGAAUUACUGGGCGUAAAGCGUGCGCAGGCUGGGAUUUAAGACAGAUGUGAAAUCCCCGGGCUCAACCUGGGAACUGCAUUUGUGACUGCAUCGCUGGAGUGCGGCAGAGGGGGAUGGAAUUCCGCGUGUAGCAGUGAAAUGCGUAGAUAUGCGGAGGAACACCGAUGGCGAAGGCAAUCCCCUGGGCCUGCACUGACGCUCAUGCACGAAAGCGUGGGGAGCAAACAGG
rnacentral:rRNA from 1 species